GGAGAUGAAGGGUAGUACUCGACGGUUACUGUCGGAGGAGGGGAUGGAUUGGAAUGGAAACUGUUUUAAUUUUCUGAAAAUUGAUUCCUUGAAUUCAAUGAAAACAGAGUAUUUAAUUGUUUUACAGGCAUAUUGAAAUUAAAUAAAACGGCAGGGACUACUUAAUCAUUUGUCCAGUAGUAUUUUAAAUUUAACGAGCUCAAAUUAGCCCAGGACGUAAUCCCUAGUCCAGUCCGGCUUGCGGGUGUUUCUCCUAACUCGGGUUCUUGUCAACGAACCGGGUUCAACAUAGUUUAACGGCUCCAGAUCGCCGACCCCUUCUUCCCCAAUAUCACAUAUUAGGUCUCCAGUCCGGCGAGCUUGGUCGACGGCGUCUCGGAUGCUCCCGUACUUAAUCGACAUCGGUUCCUCCAUUUUUAGUAGCGCAUCAUCACUUCCUCCAUGAGAUUCAACAUUGCCCCUAAUGUUGAUAGAUGGAAAGAGGCUUGCAAUCUCUUCUUCAAACUCCCAAGAGCUGUCCUCUGGAAUGGCACCAUUCCAUAAGAUAAGUACUUGUUUCCUUGGCUUUCCUCCUUGUAAAAUCCUUCUUUUAUUUAGAACUGCAAUAGGAUAGAUAAUAGGUUGAUUAUUCACAGUCACAAGGGGUUGAUCAUCUAUUGAUUUUUCAGGAAUUGGACCACAGAAUUUCUUCAACUUGGACACAUGGAAUGUUGGGUGUAUCUUUACUUCCCUCUGGUAAUUCCAGUCUGUAAGCCACUUGAUUUAUUUUCUUGCAUAUCUUGUAAGGUCCAAAAUUUUUUUUGCAAAACUUAUUAUGCAUCCUAUGAGCCACUGAUAUUUGCUUAUAUGGUUUGAGUUGUACAAAUACCCAAACUCCCACUUCGAAAGAGAUUUCAGAUCUUCUUUUAUCAGCUUGAUUCUUCAUUCUUAAUUGAGCUUUCACAAGAUUUUUUUUAUCAAAUCUAGAGUUUCCUCUCUUAGCUGAAGUUCUUUAUCUACUGCCUGAAUUUGUGAAUCCCCUGAAUGAUAAGGUGGAAUCUCAUUAGCCUCCCUUCCAUAGAGUACCUUGUAAGGACUAGCUCCUAAUGCUGAAUGAAAACUGGAAUUGUACCAUAGUUCUGCCCAGGGCAGCAACUUGAGCCACAUAUUAGGCUGUUCAUGACAAUAAGCUCUCAAAUACAUCUCUAUGGUUCUGUUAACUACCUCAGUCUGGCCAUCAGAUUGUGGGUGGUAGGCCGAAGAAAAAUUUAGUUUAGUUCCACUUAGCGUGUGGAUAUCCUUCCAAAAUUUAGAUAAGAAUAUUUUGUCUCUGUCAGAUAAAUAGAUUUUGGUAUGCCGUGUAAUUUAACCACUUCUCUAAUAAAAUUUCAGCAACUUUAGAAGCAUUAAAAUUAGAAGGGAGUGGGCAAAAAUGAGCAUAUUUGGACAUCCUGUCCACAACAACCAUUAAAACUGUAUUACCUCUUACUUUAGGGAGAUCCGUGAUAAAAUCCAUGCUGAUGUCUUCCCAUACUUGAGAUGGAAUAGGCAAUGGCACUAGCAAACCAGCCAUUUUAGAAUUUGAUGGCUUGAUCUGUUGACAUAUCACACAUUCUUUAACAUAUUUCUUGAUAAUAGCUCCCAUAUUAGGCCAAAAAAAUGUUUUAGCAAUUCUUUUCCAAGUUCUGUGAAUUCCAGAAUAACCUCCAAAUUGUGAAUCAUGAAAUUCAUAUAGAAUCUUCUUUAUAAGAGUGGAGUCUUCAUUAACAUAAUAUCUGUUUUUAUAGAGUAGAGUCCUAUUUUUGACAGAAUAACCCACUGAUGUAACACCCUCUUCUUCAGAAUGUUGAGUAAUUAGUGCCUUGGAAACUGGAUUAAGGUUGUUUUCUGUUUUGAUUUCUUCUAAGAGAGAAUAAAUAGAUUGAGAUAUUGAUAGUAAUGAUCCCGGAGUAUCUGUGGAAUUAGAAGAGAAAAUAAUUUCUCCUUCUUCCAUCUCUUCAAAACUUCUAGACAAAGCAUCUGCCACUAUAUUUUCCUUCCCCGGUUUAUAAACAAUAGUGAAAUCGAAUCCCAAUAAUUUGCAUAAAAAUACUUGCUGCUCUGGAGUUUGAAUGACUUGUGUGAGUAAGUUUUUCAAGCUCUUAUGAUCAGUUUUAAUUACAAAAUGAGAUCCCAACAAAUAAUGCCUCCAUUUACUUACAGCCUGAGUGAUUGCGAACAUCUCCUUCACAUAUAUAGAAGCACUCAUGAUCCUUCCGGACAAUUUACUACUGAAAAAACUAAUAGGAUGGGAAUUCUGACUGAGAACUGCUCCAACCCCAUUAUUGCAGGCAUCGGUUUCUACAGUAAAUUCCAGCUGAAAAUCAGGAAAAACCAGCACUGGGGCAGAUACCAAUGCUGUCUUUAGUCUUUCAAAACUUAAGGUAGCUUCUUCACCCCACUUGAAAUUAUCUUUUCUCAAUAGAUCUGUCAUUGGGGAUGCUAUAACUGCAUAUCCUUUAAUGAAUCUUCUGUAGUAUCCAGUGAGACCCAAAAACCCUCUUAACAUCUUCAGAGUCUUUGGUUGAGGCCACUCUACCAUAGCCUUUAUUUUCUCUGGAUCAGGAUGAACCCCAUCACCAGCAAUAAUAUGCCCUAAAAAGGACAUUGAAUCUCUGCCAAAUGAACAUUUUGAAAGUUUGGCAAGUAGCCUGUUCUCUCUGAAUAGCUCAAAAACAAAUCUCAAAUGGUUAAUAUGAUCUUUAAUAGAGGAGCUAUAUAUGAGUAUGUCAUCAAAAAACACAAUAACGAACUUUCUCAUAUAUUUAGAAAAUACCGAAUUCAUCACAGAUUGGAAAGUUGCAGGGGCAUUCGUAAGACCAAAAGGCAUCACAAGGAACUCAUAGUGACCUUGAUGAGUCCUAAAGGCUGUUCUUUCUGUGUGGUUAGGAUUGAUCCUGAUUUGAUGAAACCCCGACCUCAAAUCCAACUUAGAAUAAAUUGUAGAUCCCUUCAAUUCUCCCAAAAGCUCAUCAAUAGUUGGGAUUGGGUACUUGUCUUUGAUAGUCAAUGCAUUAAAAGCUCUGUAAUCCACACAUAAUCGGUAUUCACCAUCCUUUUUUUUACUAAUAGAACGGGAGAUGAAAAUGGGCUUGAGCUGGAUUUUAUGAUUCCCUGUUUCAACAUUUCAGCAAUUAACCUUUCUAUUUCAGAGUUUUGGAAUUGUGGGUAUCUGUACGGUCUAACAUUAACUGGUUUAGCCCCGGGGUGUAAAUGAAUAGCAUGGUCUCUCUCUCUUUGGGGUGGAAGGCCACAAGGUUCUUCAAAUAAUUCACAAUAUUCCUGCACCACAGACGUAAUUUCUGAAUUUUUUGGUGCUAAUGCAGUUCUUUGCUCUGCCUCCUCCACUCUUUCAUUGUAACAAACGUAAGUUUCAUAAGUAGAUGCAGUAAGACAUUUGAGUUGGCCUUGUGUUAAUGGAUCCUCAGAAAUCCAUGGUAAACCCACCCAAGUUAUUUUCUUCCCCUUUAGGCAGAAUUCCAUAAUAGAAUUCUCAAAAUCGAAUGUAACUUUUCCAAAUGUUUUUAAAGCUUGAACUCCCAUUAUCAUGUUUGCUCCAACCAUUUUAAUCAAGAAAAUGUCCAUCUUUACCUCCACAUCUUGAACUUUAAUGAGUACAUCUUUGCAUACCUUAUUGCAAACUAAUUUUUCGCCACUUCCUGUAGAUACAUAAAAUGGAACAAUUAAGCAUACAGUUAAUUUUAGUGCUAUGGCCACAUCCACUUGCAUAAAAUUAUGGCUUGAACCAGAGUCAAUCAGCACACUGAUGGCUUGACAUUUGACAAAACCUUCUACUCUAAUAGUGCUGGAAUUUAUGUUCCCUUCAAAUGCAUGGAGUGAUAUCUCUGUUCUUUCUGAUUGUACUAUAUCAGCUAUCUCUUCAUCUUCUUUGAUUGUGUCAUGUUCACCUUCCUCUUGCUCUUCAAUUUCCACAAACUCAGUUUCAUCUGCUGACAUUCUGAAUAAUCUACCUUUUCUGCCCACACAAACACUAUUAUGGUUUGUUGAAAAUCUUUCAUCACAGUUGAACCAUAAUCCUUUGCUUCUUCUUUCAGCUCUUUCGGUUGCAGAGAGCCUCUUAUUUACUGAAGUUGUUUCAGAGUUCUUGCUGUUCCAAGCAGUAUCAGUUUUAUUUUGUUGGAUGCUAGAGUAUGGAAACACUUUGGGUUGCUUGGGAAUGUAGUUUUUGUAAGUUAAAGUUCUGACUGGCCCUUUUUUUGUCUCAAUCAUUGAUGAUAACUCAAAUGCUUCGUGGAUGUCAGCUGGUUUCCCCAUCACUACAUCAGCUUGGAUGUCCUCUUUUAAUCCUGAAAUAUACAUUUCUAAUAUAAAAUAUUCAGGCAAUCCCAAAACCCUUGUACACAUUUCCUCAAACAUGCUUUGGUAUUCAGCUACAGUUCCAGUUUGCAUUAAUUUACAUAAUUUCCCCCCAGGUAAUUGGUACGGUAAUGCAAUUUAGUAAAUUUUCUCACCACUGCAUCCACAAAGUUUACCCAAGUAGAUAGCAUGUUGCUGGCCUCCAUCCAUGAAAACCACUUUCUAGCCAAUCCUUCCAUGUGAAAGGAAGCUAUUAAUAAUUUCUGGUCCUCAGGUACCUUGUUAAAUAUAAAGGAUCUCCUUGCUGAAUAAAUCCAAUGUUCAGCUUCCGUGCCAUCAAACUUUGGCAUAUCAACUUUGAUGUGUUUUGCAGGUAUAUAAUCUGGAUUCUGCAAGAUACUAAGAGCAUUGCAAGGUUUAUCAAGAUUAAUUAUAGAUUGGUAAUAUGUUUGUGGUAAUGAAAUUAAUUCAGAAGACUCUGUCUUAGUCUGAUCUGGAGGUAUUUUUGGUAUUUCAUCUGUUUCUGUAGAAUAACUGUUUUUACACAUAUCCUGCAACUAUUUACUGAUUUGCAUAAAAUUACUGUUCAUUGCAGAUCUUAUUUCUCCCAUCUCAUUUACUUGGCUCAGUUGCAAUGAUUGCAGCCUCACGAAGUCUGGGUAUGUCGCAAGAUCAAAAUUGUUUGUCAUCUGAAAAUGAGAUCAAAACUUAAGAAAGCACCAAUGAUACAAGUGUAUCGGAUCCAACAAGUAGAACAAGUUCACCUGAGUUAAAUAAGUGCCUCAGAUCCGCAAAUAAAUUCACGGGUGUCCGAGACAGAUCGCAGCGGAGAUAAACUCCUGAUAUCGAGAUUUAGCCUUCCUAACAAAUAGCGGUGAAGCUUAGUUAGGUUGGAACUCAAUGUCGUAAGCGAUACGUGAAGAGGAAUAGAGAUUCCGGUAGUAGCUGGCAGCAGAUCACGACGAUCGACGGAGCGGAGAUGAAGGGUAGUACUCGACGGUUACUGUCGGAGGAGGGGAUGGAUUGGAAUGGAAACUGUUUUAAUUUUCUGAAAAUUGAUUCCUUGAAUUCAAUGAAAACAGAGUAUUUAAUUGUUUUACAGGCAUAUUGAAAUUAAAUAAAACGGCAGGGACUACUUAAUCAUUUGUCCAGUAGUAUUUUAAAUUUAACGAGCUCAAAUUAGCCCAGGACGUAAUCCCUAGUCCAGUCUGGCUUGCGGGUGUUUCUCCUAACUCGGGUUCUUGUCAACGAACCGGGUUCAACAUAGUUUAACGGCUCCAGAUCGCCGACCCCUUCUUCCCCAAUAUCACAUGUUAGGUCUCCAGUCUGGCGAGCUUGGUCGACGACGUCUCGGAUGCUCCCGUACUUAAUCGACAUCGGUUCCUCCAUUUCCAG
rnacentral:lncRNA from 1 species